UUAUAAGAGACAGCAGCCGCCACGGGAAUACGGAGGGUGCAAGCGUUAAUCGGAAUUACUGGGCGUAAAGCGCACGCAGGCGGUCUGACAAGUCAGAUGUGAAAUCCCCGGGCUUAACCUGGGAACUGCAUUUGAAACUGUCAGGCUGGAGUCUUGUAGAGGGGGGUGGAAUUCCAGGUGUAGCGGUGAAAUGCGUAGAGAUCUGGAGGAAUACCGGUGGCGAAGGCGGCCCCCUGGACAAAGACUGACGCUCAGGUGCGAAAGCGUGGGGAGCAAACAGGAUUAGAUACCCCUGUAGUCCCUGUCUCUUAUAC
rnacentral:rRNA from 1 species